AACGAACGCUGGCGGCAUGCCUAACACAUGCAAGUCGAACGAGACCUUCGGGUCUAGUGGCGCACGGGUGCGUAACACGUGGGAAUCUGCCCUUUGCUUCGGAAUAACAGUUAGAAAUGACUGCUAAUACCGGAUGAUGUCGAAAGACCAAAGAUUUAUCGGCAAAGGAUGAGCCCGCGUAGGAUUAGGUAGUUGGUGGGGUAAAGGCCUACCAAGCCGACGAUCCUUAGCUGGUCUGAGAGGAUGAUCAGCCACACUGGGACUGAGACACGGCCCAAACUCCUACGGGAGGCAGCAGUGGGGAAUAUUGGACAAUGGGCGAAAGCCUGAUCCAGCAAUGCCGCGUGAGUGAUGAAGGCCUUAGGGUUGUAAAGCUCUUUUACCAGGGAUGAUAAUGACAGUACCUGGAGAAUAAGCUCCGGCUAACUCCGUG
rnacentral:rRNA from 1 species